UUACGGCCACAACGCAUUCAAACACCGGUCCCUGGAUGAUCACCGAUGUUAAGCAACGUCGAGCAUGAUCAGUACCUAUAUGGGUGACCGCUUGGGAAUACUUGGAUG